rnacentral:rRNA from 1 species
GACGAACGCUGGCGGCGUGCUUAACACAUGCAAGUCGAACGAUGAAGCUGGAGCUUGCUCCGGUGGAUUAGUGGCGAACGGGUGAGUAACACGUGAGCAAUCUGCCCUUGACUCUGGGAUAACUGCGGGAAACUGUAGCUAAUACCGGAUACGACACCUUGGGGCAUCCCGGGGUGUGGAAAGAAUUUCGGUCAAGGAUGAGCUCGCGGCCUAUCAGCUUGUUGGUGAGGUAAAGGCUCACCAAGGCGACGACGGGUAGCCGGCCUGAGAGGGUGACCGGCCAAACUGGAACUGAGACACGGUCCAGACUCCUACGGGAGGCAGCAGUGGGGAAUAUUGCACAAUGGGCGAAAGCCUGAUGCAGCAACGCCGCGUGAGGGAUGACGGCCUUCGGGUUGUAAACCUCUUUUAGCAGGGAAGAAGCGAAAGUGACGGUACCUGCAGAAAAAGCACCGGCUAACUACGUGCCAGCAGCCGCCGUAA